CUAGGUCCCUUAGCAUCUGCUGCUGCUCCCUCUGGCACUUCCUGCCCUGUGAUAACACGCUCGUCUCAACAGCUCUCAAGAGCCCCUGGGGUGGCAGGCACAUCCCAAAGGCACAUGAUCCUUCAGGUUUCAACAGGCCUGCUGGCUGCCUUGUAGAGAGCUGAUUGUAUCUUCAUCACACCCGCAAGAGGAUAUUUCCAAACUAAUAAAGUCAUCUGAGAGCACUGCUUAUAACUCUUCAGAAACGCAUGCAAGAGGGUCA
rnacentral:lncRNA from 1 species